rnacentral:rRNA from 1 species
UACGGAGGGGGCUAGCGUUGUUCGGAAUUACUGGGCGUAAAGAGCGUGUAGGCGGCCAUACAGGUCCGUUGUGAAAACUCGAGGCUUAACCUCGAGACGUCGAUGGAAACCGUAUGGCUAGAGUCCGGAAGAGGAGAGUGGAAUUCCUGGUGUAGCGGUGAAAUGCGCAGAUAUCAGGAAGAACACCCGUGGCGAAGGCGGCUCUCUGGGACGGUACUGACGCUGAGACGCGAAAGCGUGGGGAGCGAACAGG